UAAUGUAUCUUUGCAAUUUUUUAAACAUGUGGAAAAAGAACUGGGAAAUGUCUUGUGUUACAACUGCUGGUGAAUCACAUUUUUUUCAAAUAUUGUGUUAAUCAUAAUAUUAGGGUACACUACUGUUGUUUCUUAAAGUAUCAGGUGCAGUUAAAUUUACUUUCCUGAUUCUAUAGGGAAAAUACUUUAAAGCAGUUCUUCUCAUUUAGGUAAUUGUUCUUUUCUACAAGUAUUUUUCAAUAGAACAGUGUAAUUGGAAAAAAAAUCAGCUCUUGGUAUCACUGAAUACCAGCAUGUACCAUAUCUCUGCUCCAAAGGAGAACAUUACUAUAAAGGAUGGUGAGUAAGCUGUGAUUUGUUUGUGAAAUUCCUAGAGGGCAAAGCUACAUAAUGCUCUUGAAGCUGCAUGUUGAGGUGUAAUACCAUAUCUUAAUAUAGUUGGCAAAUUGAAAUUUCAAGCCACACAAAAAAAAAUAAAGGGAAGAGAAAGCAAAUAUUUUCCUUGGGAAAUUAUGGAACAUUUAGAGGCAAGUAACAGAUAGGCCAGAGGAAGAAACUUUCCCUUCUUUUCUAAUACAUCACUGUGAGUAAGUGGUUUCCAUUAUUUCUGCCAUGAAUAUUUUAUUGUGGAAGAUAUUUUAAACAUGAUUUUACUUAAAUGUUCAAAUACAGUACUAUGAGUGUGUGGUGGUUGUACCAUGAAAAAUGUGACAAUGUGAGAAAUGGCAUAAUGGAUUUUCAUAUUUGCAUCUUGGUGAUUUCCAGAUUAAAUUAGCUCAUCUGAUAACUAAAAAGAAAUUCUUGCUAACUGUCAAUUCUCAAGCUCUCCUGGAGAUCUCGAUGUCAAGUCUUGUUCUUUCUGGCUCCUACCACUAAAGUUCUGCAAUCAAUAACUUAACAGCUCUUUGCAUGACAAAGGAGCCAGAAGGGGUUCAGCAUAGUUUCCCAGAGCGGUUUUAGCUAUUUAGGGCUAACAGGCAUACAAAGGCAGCAAAAUAUGAAGAUAUGACUCAGAAUUCCUGUUGAAUAAGAUGAUGACAUUUUUACACACAAAACUUGAAAGGCCUCAUCUGAACAAGUUAUAUUGUCUUCAAAGGACAAUAUUUUGUUACUACAUAGCAAUGUAGGAGUGUUUUCCAAAUGUUUGGACCUAGCCAGCCUCUUCUAGAACAAGACAUAUUUUGUGACUCCUAACCCCAACCAUGAGCAGUCAAGUAUGGAGUUUUGAAAUUAGUUGUUCUCGGACAUCAUCAGCCAUGUCAUUGAUACUGUGUGUUGUUUGACAAAGGCCUAGCUCCAGGCCAAUUUUGAUAACGUCUCUUGCACAGAGAAGGGAAUAUAGUUUUGUACAAUGCUAUGUGGCUUACACUGCUAUGCAAUUGGUAGAAGGAUCGAAUGGGCAAAAUGGGAGGAGGAGUGGCACUCUAUGUCAAAAAUGGAAUUACCUCUUUUUGGAUCACUGACCAUUUGGAAAAAAAUGAUCUUGAAUGCUUAUGGAUCAAUGUGCUAACAGAUAAAAGCACAAGAUGGAGUAUUAGUUGGUGUCUGCUACAGACCACCAAAGCAAUGUAGAGAAGAAACUGACUGUCUCCUUACGCAGCUAUCUAUAAUGUGUGCGCAUGGGGGGAACUACGUGAUUAUGGGGUUCUUCAGUUUGAGUGACAUAUGCUGGUAGUCUCAUGCUACAACAUCCUUUGAAUUUCUAAACAGUAUAGAUGACAAUUUCCUAACUCAAAAAGUGUUGCAUCCAACAUGGGUAAAUUCUUUAUUAGAUGUUGCCCUGACAGAUAAAGAGGAACUAAUCACAGAACUAAAAAAUAAUGGUAGCUUAGGUACAAUUGAUCAGGACUUGAUCACAUUUAUAAUGUGCAAGUAGAAUAAAGUCCAGACCAGUAAUAUGUAUAUAAUUGGUGCUUUACUAGGGCCAGUUUCAAAAGAUGAAAACAAUUGUGAACACAAUCAGCUUGGAUGAAGAAUUUAAUCAGAAGAAUGUGAAUGAUAAAUGGAAAUAAUUUAAGAACACGUUAUUCAUAGCCAAAGUAGCCACAAUCAAGGAAGAAGGUUGUACUGUUUAAAAAAAGUCUGUACUGAUUUACAGAAGAAGUGAAAGCAGCUAUACAAUUUAAAAAAAAAUAACAAAUGAAAGAAAGGGGAAGUUUAUAGUGAUGAAUAUAAAUCAGAAGAUGGGAACUGUAGAAAAUUGAUAAGGGAAGCAGAGGGCCACAAGACGAAAUCUGUGGCCAGUGGAAUUGAGGAUAAUAAGGAGCUUUUUAACUAUAUUAGGGAAAAAAUCCUAUUGUAUUGGUCCGUUACUAGAUGGAAGUGGUAGGAUCAUCAGUGAUAAUGUAGAAAAGGCAGAAGUGUUCAAUAAAUAUUUCUCUUCUGCAUUUGGAGAAAAAACAGAUGAUUCGGUUUCCUCACAUGGUGGUGGUGACACUCUUUCCAUUCCUCUAAUAUCUCUGGAGGAUGUUAUAGAGAAGCUACUAAAGUUAAACAUUUUUAGAUAAGCAAUUUCAGAUAACUUGCAUCCCAGAGAUUUAACAGAGCUGGCUGAGAGCUUGCUGGACUGCUAAUGUUGAUUUUCAAUAAGUUUUGGAGCAUUGGGGAAGUUCCAGAGGCUAGAAGGAAGCUGAUGUGCCAAUUUUUAAAAAGGGGAAAUGGGAUUGACCCAGGUAAUUAAAGGCCUAUCAGCCUGACAUCAAUCCCAGGCAAAAUAAUUGACUGUCUGAUAUGGGACUCGAUUAAUACAAAUUAAAGGAGGGCAAUAUAAUUAAUGUAAAACAACGUAGGUUUAUGAAAAAUAGAUUCUGUCAAACUAACUUGGUAUUUUUAAUGAGAUUACAAGUUAGGUUGAUAAAGGCAAUAGUGUUGACACAAUAUACUUAGACUUCUGUAAGGCAUUUGACUUGGUACCACAUGACAUUUUGAUUAAAAUCUAGAAUGAUAUAAAAUUAACAUGGCACAUAUUAACUGGCUAAUUAAAACUGGCUAAGUGGUAGGUCUCAAACUGUAAUUGUAAGCAGGAAAUCAUGUUUGAUAAGGUGUGUUUUCAGUGGGGUCCCACAGGGAUCAGUUCUUUGCCCUACACAAUUUACCAUUUUUAUCACAUGACUUGGAAGAAGACAGAAAAUCACCACAGAUAAAGUUUGCAAAUGACAUAAAAAUUGUGGGAGUGGUAAAUGAAGGAGAAGAAAGGUCACUGUUACAAAGCAGUCUGGAUCACUUUGUAAGCAAUAUGCAUUUUAACAUGGCUAAAUUUAAAUGUAUACAUCUAGGAACAAGGAAUGUAGGCCAUAUUUACAGGAAGAGGGACUCGAUCCUGGAAAGCAGUGACUCUCAGAAAGAUUUGGGAAUCACUGUGAAUAAUCAGCUAAACAUGAGCUCCUAACCUGAAGCUAUGGCCCACAAAACUAAUGUGAUCCUGGGAAGCAUGAACAGGGGAAUCUUGAGGAGAAGAGAUUUGGUGAUGGUGCAACUACUGCUGGAAUACUGUGUCUAGUUCUGGUGUCCACAAUUCAAGAAGGACAUUGAUAUUUUGGAGAGGGUUCAGUGAGGAGUGGUGAGAAUAACUGAAGGAUUAGAAAACAUGCCUUAUAGUGUUAGAUUCAAGGAGCUCAAUCUAUUUAGUUUACCAGAGAGACAGCUAAAGGGUGACUUGAUUACAGUCUUUAAGUAUCUACAUGGGCAACAAAUAUUUAAUAAUGGGCUCUUCAAUCUAACAGAGAAAGGUAUAAUGUGCUCCAGUGGCUGGAAGUUGAAGCUAGAUAAAUUCAGACUGGAAAUAAGGCAUAAAUUUUUAACAGUGAAAGUUAUUUACCAAGAUUCAUGGUGAAUUCUCCAUCACUGACAAUUUUUAAAUCUAACCAGGAUGGGCAGGAAUGGUGCCCCUAGCCUCUAUUUGCCAGAAUCUGGGAAUGAGCGAUGGGGCAUGGAUUACUUGAUGAUUACCUGUUCUGUUCAUUUCCUCUGGGGCACCUGGCACUGGCUACUGUUGGAAGACAGGAUACUGGGCUACAUGGACCUUUGGUCUAACCCAGUAGGGCCAUUCUUACGUUCUUAUGUUCUAAGAGUGGUUGUUUUUCUAAGGGAAUUAUUUUAUUUUAUUUUAUUUUAGGAAAGUUCUAUGGCCUGUGCUAUACAGGAGGUCAGACUAUCUGAUCGCAAUGGUCCCUUCUGGCCUCGUAAUCUAUGAAAUGUUAAAUAACGUGCCCAAAAGGUGUUCCUUGUGACAUUGCCAGUUUAGGGAAUCAAAUUUUGAUUUUUCAAGGCUUCAAGUUUUCUCAAGAAGAAAUAUCCUCAGGCUUAUCUUUAAGUUCCAGAUGUUUUGUUUCAGAAUGUUGCAAUAACUUCAAAGGUUGCAUCAUCCAAGCAGCCAUCAUGUAAGAACAUAUGAUGCUUUAAUUUGGAACCAACCAGUGUUACACCAUAUAUGUCAUCUCAUUUCUUCUUUCUGAGUUUCCAUUUAACAACUUACUACUUUCUUUUUCACAAAUUGAUCCAUCCCUUGGCAAGAACUCAACUCCAGCAAAGACUGAAUGACGUGUAAUGCAGUCAUCUGAGACACAGCAAUGCCCUCAUCUUAGCUGUAUUCUCUGACAACUGGCUAGUGUCCCAGUUCAGUGACAGAUUUUGUAACAGCCUGCAUGCAUGCAUGCAUUUUUGCAUCAUGUAUAUAACAAGUACUUAAUGUAACUUGUACUGUUUUGAAUAAGGUAAUUACCAACUAUACUCACAAUGUUGUAGGAUUAGUACUGUUACAAAAGCAGAGACUCUAGCAGUCUGCUGCACAUUCUCACAACCUGCACUGUUUGACAAUGAAAUGAUUUUCAGGUUACAAAUAUAGUGGCUUUAAUGGGACUUCUCCUUCUUUUCACGGUCACACUGGACAGCACCACCCUUACACAUUCUGUGGGCAUCAUCUUCGACUCAGCCCUCUCUACCACUCCUCAUAUGCAGCCUGUACCUAAAUUUUGUUGGUUCUUCCUGCAUAAUAGCUCUAAAAUCUACGUUUGCUCUCCACCCACACAGCUAAAACUUGAGGCCUUACUCAUCUUGGCCCAGGCCUUCAUCAACUUGCACCUCAACUAUGGCAACAUCCUGGCCCUACUCUUAUCCAUUUAAACACUGUUGCAAAUAUUAUUUUCCAAGGUCAUUGCUUUGACCAUGUCACUUCUCUUUCUACGUUCCCUCCACUGGGUCCCCCCUUUUUCCAUGACAUCAAAUAGAAAUUACUUGUCUUCACUUUCAAGCCUUUAAUGGCCUAUCCCCAACUAUUUGUCAACUUGCUUACAUUAUCAUGAUGUCAGCUCCCACUUCUGCUCACCAAUGGUGAAAGCCUUCAUUGUCCACUUUAAAAAAUUUAAAACAAGCACCUUUGUGCUUUCUCCUUUGCUCUCCUAUGCACUUUGGGGAGCUCCCUAUAAACUUCUACAAAGUCACCUCAUGAUCCUCAUUCAUAUCCCUCUCUUGUCCAUGAUGUCUAAGAAAAACUUGGCAACACUUAGGCAGCUGUUUUGCUGAGACUACUGUCUAUCAUGUUAACUGGUAUUGUCUAAUUGUUUGCUCAUCCUUCCCUUGUCGGUCCUUACCCAUUUUUUUUCUUGUCUUAUACUGGAUUGUAAGUUUUUUGGGGCAGGUCUUUCUGUUAUGUUUUUGCAUACAGAACAGUGCUUAGCACAGUGGGGCUUUGGUCCAUGAUUCCUAUACUGCAAUACAGAGAAUAAGAAUAUGUCUGAUUUAAACUAAACUGUACAGUGUGAUAUUAUCAAUUUAUUGGAGUGUAGGAACCAAUCCUCUACUGGUGUCCAAGGGAUGUUCUUUUCUGUUUGACUUCUCUAAUUAUAUGUCUCAAGAUUAUUAGAAUAAUUGAGGUUUACUGUCUUUAAUAUUGAAGGUGAUGGUGGUGAGUUUUUUCUCAGUUACUUAAAAAAAGGGCUUUGUAUCAAUUGACUUCCCAUUUACUUAGUUCCCAAGUUAGCUUCCAAGAUCUCACAUAUCAUGACGUAUGGCACAACAACUCUAUCCCACACAGUUGAAUUUUUCUGUGAUUUAUUAUGGUACCUUAUAAAGUUAUAGGAAAUAACUCAAAAUUGAUGCUUGUCAUUACAAUACAGAUGUCCCUCUAAUCUGACACAUUUUGCUAGGAAUUUUUGGGUGGUUGUUUUAUUACCUUAAUCCUCCCAACCCUUCCAUUUUGACUUCUUCCAAGGCAAUUUGCUAUUUAGACUCUGAGCUGUCCAGUCAACAUGUGAUUUAUAAACUAUUUGACCUUAGUUACAACAGCAUCCAGUAGCUUCCUUUCCGUUUAAAUUGGUAUCACAUUUUAGUAACGUCUACUUUGGCAGUGUGUAGUGGCAAAUAACUGCAGUUCCCUUGACUACUUUACUAUUGCCUAGUGACUUAUUUUUAUCACGUUGCAAUGAUGCAGAAUAAGAAUGGGUCUUUUCCUUAUUUCGCAAAGUUAAUUUACUAUGUAAGAAGAAGUUGUAACUAUACCAUAUAGAUUUGAACAUUUAAAAUAUAACCCGAAGUAGGCCAAGAGCUUCAGUUUCUGAUAAAGAGUGGGGUGAGGAAUGUACAAUAGACAGUUUUUGUUUUUGUCCCCUGUUUAGUGACUGCAUUUUGAGUUAACUGGAGGAUUAUUUCAGACUACCUAAGGAUAAGCAAAAAAGAGGAAAUAAGGUGAAGCUAAUUAAUUUUUAAGGUUGAUAUUUUUGGAACUCUGUGGUCCCUAGGAUUUUGGUGCUUUUCAAAAGGCUUUAGGCUGUAAAAGCUCUUUCAAAUGAUAGCUUAGGGCUUACUGGAAAUGAAAAAACAAUCCUCUGGGGGUUUCUGAGUGUGAUAAUCACGGAUUAGAAAGGUCACUCAAAUGAGGAUCAUGUAAUGGUCAUAAUUUUUUGAAUUUAUAUAUUCAGCAGUUAUACAUAGAAUAGAUAUCAUUUAAUUACAGUGAGCUAAUUAGUAAUAUAUUUUUGGAUGUUUUAACACUGAGAAAAAAUGUUGCAAAGGGUAGAGGAGGAGAGCACAGAAUGUGUCUGAUUAACUUGGGGUUUACUUUUCAGAAAUUGGUAAUCAACGAUCCCUGCAGAAACUGACAAAGAGGAUACUUUCUGCCUUUGAUAACGGUUAUUACAACUGGUGUAGCCGAUCGCUGAUUCUUAAUGGGACUUGAACAACCUGUUGUAAAGAUUACAACUGUUAACUUCAGGGAAGGAAAUGAACUUAAAAUAAAUACAUUGUGAAAGUAUUGUAUAUAUAAUGGUACGUGAAGCUACUUUUGUGAUUAAUUGAGUUCUUUUAGUAAACCAGAGAACAGAACCGAUUUACUGUUGCCGUGGAAAUUUAAAGGGUAAAUUCUCAGUUAAGUUUCUGUUUUACUCCUUAAAUUAAUGUGAGGUUAAUGCCUAAGAUUUUAUAAGUGUUUAUUCAGAUCUUUAAUUCUAAAGAAUAACUAAUUGUUUUAAAAAGAGCUCAAUCUGGGGAUUCUUCCUUUAUACAGUAAAUUAAAUCCAUCUUGCUCUCCAUUUCUCCUCUUACUAAUUUGAAGCUUUGCUCCAGAACAGAGCCAGCUUUUCUGGUUAUACAAAGCUUAUAGCCACAGAGAAAAUGUAAAAGGAGAAUAAGGAGACAGAGACAGAGAGAACUUCUAGCUGUUUUACUUGAAAAGAAUCUUCAAAUUAUAAUCUGUGCAAACCAAUUCCUUGGGCUGAAAGUUUAUCACUUGAUUUUCCAAAAGAUCAAUGGGUUAUUCACAGUCCCUUCCACAGCACCUAGAUCCAGAGUUUGGGGUCCAGAAAAAGUGUGUCCGUACAACUUUCAUAUUUUUUCCUUUUGAAGACUCUAGAUCAGCUUCACAGUUGGAGGAGGUAGUGCCAUGUGAGCUUCCUUUGACAGCACUAGAGCCAUUCCAAGAUCCAACCAGCUAGCUGCCUGCAGCUUAACCAGCUUCUCUGCUGAGCAGUCAGUGUGACCUUUGACCAAAAGAAGGGGCAGCUCAGUAGCAGGGGUAGUAUGAUGCAGUGGACUGAGACCAGAUAAUCCCAGCUGUGACUGUACCUUCCUCAGUAGUCUUUGUCUAGUUUUUGUUUUUGUCUUUGUUUUUGGAGGAUACAAAUUUCAAAUCUGGUGCCAAAAAUUAGGCACCAAAUUCAAAAUUUUCAGAUUUAGGUGCUUAAAAUUAUACACCUAUAUUUG